GGUCACAUGCCGUUACUUCCAGACUCCAAAGGUCAUCAUUUCACCUCCUCCCUUUUCUGACUCUCUCUCUCUCUAGGUUAGCCUGUCCAUCUCUCCUCUCUCUCACUCAGGUGCCCUCUCCCCCUCUCACUCAGGUGCCCUUUAGCCAUUCUCGUUAGAUCCGGCAAAUUUACAUCGUGGGAAGCGUAGAUCGGAGGUGGAGAUUCAAGGGGCGUACACGGAGGUGAUAUUAUCCCACUGUUCCCAUGGAUUUCUUCGAUGCUCUUCUGUUUUUCCAUCGCUAUGCGAACGGAUUUUUGGGGGUUUUCUCUAUGGAUUUUUUCGGCAGAGAUGUUGUGAGAUCCAGUUGUUGGUAGAGGAGCCGAUGCACGCGAAUAGGGAGAAACCCAAAUCAAGUAGGGAGGAAGAGGCCCCCUAUGAACGCAGGCGAGUCUCCAUUCCAUCAUCCUGGUACCAGGGCGCCGACGAUGCCAUGGCGAGUUGAGGGGACUUCAAGGAGUGCCGAUCUGCUUCCUAGUUGAAGAUGCUAGGGGGACAAGUCUGGAUAGUAGAGUAUGGCUCUCCACAUCCGGUUUGGCGUCCUGCUUAAGUAUGUUGUUUCACCUGUAGGCAACUUAUACUAAAUCGACAAGCAAUCUAUCUUAUCAUAGUUUAACAUUUUUGUUCUUCUAAUUUAGUAUUUUUGUGUUCCGAUGAUGAUAGGUAUUUCUAAUGAAUUCAAUUUACUUUGCUCUCUCACUUAUCCUAAGUUACUUUUUGAGUCCAUUAUAUCUUUUGAAACUAGCAAAUAGUAUCCUGGUAUUAAUUAAGCAAUUCCUCAUUUUUUUAGUUUUUGUUUUUCUGCUCAAUGACUUGAAUGCUUCUCUUCUGUUUUAAUAGGCACAUCCACUAUUUUUCAAUCUAUAGUGAUCUGUAGUGCACCACAAAACCCAGUAACGCCUAAUGCGUUAGCCUGCAUAAGUUAAAAGGAAUAAAUUUGUCAGGAAUGAUUUUUUGUUAGCUCUAUUAAGUCUGUAUUUGUAAUUGUUUGGCAAAAUUUCAACAUGUGUUUAGUCGUUACUAAAAAUUAUCAGGCAGCAUUAUGAACGGCUGUUUUUUAGUUCUUUUCCUCCAAAAUAUGGUUUUUGAUUGAUAUCAUUCCUUGCUUUUAUGACUGACUUUUAAUCCUUUUCAGUAAUUUAUAGCAUAACCAUGAGAUAUUUCUUUUGUGUGUUCUCUGUUAGUUUUGUUCCGAUGUUUCUCUCACCAAUACAUAGUUGAUGUUCAUAUCAUAGUUGUAAGUUAGGCAAAAUGAUAUAAUUCAUCAGGCAGUAAUAUGCUAUUAAAUUAGGUAAAUGAAUAUACUUUAGUAGGCAAUAAUAUGGUCGUGAAAUAUCAAUAAUACAUGUGUGUUCUACAUCGAUUCUAUGUUAUCAAUAAUACAACUUUGUGGUUGAGCUCGGCGAUGGGGGAGAAGCUGGACGAGCUACUGCGGCGCGAGGAUAACCGGGCUCUGCUCAAGGGUUUUGAGGACACUCGAGCACUGCGUGGACUGCGCUCACCGACAUCGAGCGCCAGGAGGCUGAAGCGCGCUUGGCCCGCAAGGAGGUUCACCGCCUUGAGAAGCGUCACGACGAGAUAUGUUGCUAUUCACGUGACACAUUUGCUAUCUAGCCUGCUCGAUGUUUUGCAAGUUCAGCUAUUCGACAUUUUGCCUGACGAAUCCUAUGCCGUGAUGGCUCGCUUACCGUAGAGCAACCUCUCCUUGUCCUGUCAUGGUGCUAUACAGACCCCCACAACCAAGUGUUGUAGCUCUGGUUAUAUACACGCCGCUAGUCAGUACUUUUCAAGUCAAUAAUAUUUUUGUCAAAUAGUAGAAGUAUUUUUAGUAGUAUUUCAUUGCUUUCCAGUAGGCAAAUACAUCAAAUGCUAGAAGCAUUUCAGUACUUUCUAGUAGGCAAAUACAUCAAAUAUUUGAAAUAAUUUCAGAACUAGGCAAUAAUAUUGGUAGAAAUUGGGCAAUAAUAUUGUUCUUGAUAGGCAAUAAUAUGGGUUACAAUAGGUAUUUUGUUCUGCAAAAGGUUACAUGCGACUUUUGCAUGCUUAGCUGCAGAAGUUGAUGAAUCAUCAUACGGCAACUAAUGUAGCAGAAAGUAUAGCAGUAUGGAUAGUUGUUGCGUAUGUAGGAGCAACUGCAUUAGCACAAAUUGUUGUGCUUGCGUCACAGCUGCAACAACAUAAUUAGAUGCUAAAUCAACAAGCAAAUUAUUCAAUCUAGUGUUAUGUCUAUCAUUGUCUAAAAUCUGACGUUCACAAUUCUCAUUUUGUGAUUGUACAUGUUCAUUAUGCAUUUUAUGUGUAUGUCUGGAAAGCAUUUUAUGUUAUAUUUAGAAGCAACAAUAUGAUCUGUGUUACGCAAUAUUAUGGUCCUUUGGGAUAAUAAUUUGCUUCUGGUUUAGGAAAUAAGGCGCUUCUAAAGCUAGCACAGUUUAUUUGAUCAUACAUAUGCUUUUUUUGUUGCCUCCAGAACUUUUUUAACAUGCAUUUUAGCACAUGCAUUUAACAUGCAUUUUUUUAGUCAUGUGCAGCGAAGCUAAAGUCAAGCAUAAGCAGGUGUAUCUAUUGGUUACAUGAUGAACAAUAUUAUUGUAUUAUUGUGAAUCUAUUUUAUUUGCUUGUAUAAUUAUUCUAAUUUGCUUUGGAUCAAUCUGUUUUAUUUGCUUGUACAUUUGUUUUAAAUUGCUUCGGAGUUUAUUAUGAUAUGCUUUCAACCUUUAACAAAA